CCCACACCGUGUGGGCUGCUUGCAGAGAAACCAGAAGCAGAAGCAGACACAGACCUCGUCGCCUCCAGAUCGACGGCGACGACGGCGGCGGCGGCGGGUGCCACCGCCAACGCCGAGGCAGAGAGCGGCAAUGGCGAUGAGCCGCGCCCACCCGUCUGCAUGGGGAAGGAGGCGGCGGCGGAGGAGGGGGAGGAGAUCCGCAUCCGCUCCAGCUUGACCAGGCAAGCUUUCCUCGACGCCCUCCCCUCCCAUCCCCUCCGCCGCCAUGCGUGUCGGAUCGAACUGCUUCUCCGUGAGAUUUACAGAGGAACGCCAUUUUCUGGAGGAUGCAUAAGUGCAACCUGCAGCACAUUGCGAGUUCAGAAACCAGAAAUGCGCAAGAGUUCAGAAAGGCAUAUGGCCAUGAUCCAAAUCAGAUCCAAGGUACACGUGCAACGACUUGACUUGGAGGCAGCUUCAGUCCGUACGUAGAAAUAAAGCU
rnacentral:lncRNA from 1 species